UACCAGCACCCCGAGUGGUCGGGACGUUUAUUGGGCCUAAAGCGUCCGUAGCCGGUUCUACAAGUCUUCCGUUAAAUCCACCUGCUUAACAGAUGGGCUGCGGAAGAUACUAUAGAGCUAGGAGGCGGGAGAGGCAAGCGGUACUCGAUGGGUAGGGGUAAAAUCCGUUGAUCCAUUGAAGACCACCAGUGGCGAAGGCGGCUUGCCAGAACGCGCUCGACGGUGAGGGAUGAAAGCUGGGGGAGCAAACCGG
rnacentral:rRNA from 1 species